rnacentral:rRNA from 1 species
UCCUACGGGAGGCAGCAGUGAGGAAUAUUGGUCAAUGGGCGGAAGCCUGAGCCAGCCAUCCCGCGUGCAGGAUGACGGCCCUACGGGUUGUAAACUGCUUUUCCAGGCCAAGAAACGUUCCGACGUGUCGGGAUUUGCCGGUAGCCUGGGAAUAAGCAUCGGCUAACUCCGUGCCAGCAGCCGCGGUAAUACGGAGGAUGCAAGCGUUAUCCGGAUUCAUUGGGUUUAAAGGGUGCGCAGGCGGGUUUGUAAGUCAGUGGUGAAAUCCUGCCGCUUAACGGUAGAAUUGCCAUUGAUACUGCAGGUCUUGAGUAUGGAUGAGGUAAGCGGAAUGUGUUGUGUAGCGGUGAAAUGCAUAGAUAUGACACAGAACGCUAAUUGCGGAGGCAGCUUACUAAUCCAUUACUGACGCUGAGGCACGAAAGCGUGGGGAGCGAACAGGAUUAGAUACCCUGGUAGUCCACGCUGUAAACGAUGUUCACUCGCUGUUUGCGAUACACAGUAAGCGGCUGAGCGAAAGCAUUAAGUGAACCACCUGGGGAGUACGAUCGCAAGGUUGAAACUCAAAUGAAUUGACGG